rnacentral:rRNA from 1 species
UUGCGCGAGACUGAAUAUAUUGAGCGAUCUUGAGAACCUGUCAAAAUAAGUGGUGGCUAUAGCUACCGAGAUAAAAUUCAUCCCAAUCGUUGCCUAAUCCCCUCUUCGGGGUGUGGACGUGAUGAAGGAUGGAUGAACCCCAAAAUCGGCGCAGCGUCGCGCCAAGGAAAUAUCGAAACACAAGCCCUAAAAUGGAUUUGUGGAAUGGGGUGCUGUAGCAUCUAUAAUAUGGUUUGAAAUGACUCUCGGCAAUGGAUAUCUCGGCUCUCGCAUCGAUGAAGAGCGCAGCGAAAUGCGAUAUGUGGUGCGAAUUGCAGAAUCCCGCGAACCAUCGAGUCUUUGAACGCAAGUUGCGCCCGAGGCCAAUCGGCCAAGGGCACGUCCGCCUGGGCGUCAGACAUUUUGUCGCUUCGUGCCUAGCCACCCAUCGAUGGAUGUGUUGGCGAGGGCUCGGAUGUGCAUGGUGGCUCGUCGUGCCCCUCGGUGCGGCGGGCUGAAGAGCGGGUCAUCGUCUUGUUGGCUGCGAACAAUAAGGGGUGGAUUAAAGCGAUGCCUAUGAUAUUGUGUCGUGCAUGCCUAAGAGAUGAUCAUAACUUUGAGGUGAUCCCAAAUCAUGCGUUGAUCCACGGAUGGUGCUUUGAAUGCGACCCCAGGAUGGGCGAGGCCA